CUCUUUCCUUUGCGUCCGGAGAGCGUGUGUCUGUGGUGGUUCGCCUUGGCGUUUUCUGCGCCAAAACAAAUAAAAAACCUGUUAUAGGACUUUUUGACUUGGCUGAAAAUGCAAAAAACUCAGACGUCUUGGGCUGCCACUUGGCGCUCAGCUUUUAAAACCCCUGGGUGGGACGGCCAGGGCCGACUUAGCGCGUUAGGCCGUCGGCGGCCACGUGCUGCCCUGGGCGCUGAGCCCGCGAGCGCGAUGGGCCCCGGGCCUUCGGGGUGAGCUAACACGCUGCCAGGAACGCCGAGGAAGAGUGUCCUUCCGCCUUCCAUCUGCGCCGCCAUAGUUGUGUGGUCACGCGUCCUGAUGGCCGCCGUUGGAGCCCGUUGGAAGCCGAGUUCCGAUGGGUGAUGGAAAUUAAAACAAGACAAGAAUUCUGAAGUGAUAUGGGUGACAUCUUGAUCAGUAUCCUGCAUACAGUACCUGUGAUUUUAAAUCUCACCAGGGGAAUGAGUGACUACUGAUGUUCUGAAGACUACUCUGGCUGUAUUUUAAAUACAUGUCUAAAUAAACUGCUAUUUAAAUAGUAGUUCAUUGUUAUAAUUGUAAAAUGGUAUUUGGUGUACCUUCACUCAGUAAAUACAAGUAACAGCAAACAUUACCUUGGAAUUCCAGUAUUGUAAGGGUAUUUUCAGCAUUUGGGGAAACUAAAACAUGUCAAUCCUAGAAAAAAUUGCUCGUUGUCUUAUCACAUGAAAGAUUAAAGCAACAAUACUAGGUGAAAAGCUAUGUGCUUUAUUUACACAAAUAUGCAACAAACACUUGUAUAUAGUAAAAGUCAGUUACCAAGAAAUGAGCUAUAACAUGUUACAAAGUAUUCCAAUUCAAGCUUGAACAAACUGAUAACUUUGUCUGCCAGCCUAGCUCAGUUGAAUUUCAAUAUAAAUGUUGCUUCCUCCAGCACUAGUUAUAAGGGCAGCCUGUGAGGGGUUUCUGCAGACUUUCUCACCUGUAUUGCACAUUCUUCCCAAGCCCUUGUGCAAGCUACAUUAGAUGCAGCUCAAUCAUUACAUUAUGUGACACUUAAACAUUUUCCCUCUAUCAAAAUCUUGAGCUUUUUAGAAGUUUUAAUGUAAUCCUACUUAAAUAACAUUACAUUUUUGCAAAGUUGUAAACUAUAAAGCACCAUUAGGUAAGCACCAGUUAACUUUUUUUUUAAACAAAGCUGAGGAUUUACAAAAAUGACAUGAUUUGAUGCAAAAGGUCCAGUCCAUUGUUAUGAGCAACUUGAGGGGGAGACUAUUUAAGCCACUCAAUGCUAAAGUUAACAUUAAACUUUAUGGUUUUUUGUCAUUACAUCUACCUCUUGCAUAUAACAAGAGUUUUCUUAGGAUUUCAGGGAGGAUUCAUUGGCAGUCAUGUCUAAAAAUUAUUUAGGUGUCUCGAGGGACAUACCUCAUACUUGGGUACAGAUUAUGUACUGCUGCCAAGGAUAGAUUUCAGGAUGUGUGAUAAGCAGCUUUCUCUUGCCCUUUGGUAAGUAGAGGAGAAACUUCAGGGUGUGGGCUGGUAACCAUUGUCAGCAUCAGGACUUCUUUCUGCAGUUGCCUUUCAAAAUCAGCUGUCUCAACUGGCUUCUAGACCUGUUUUCCUAAAAUUUUAAGUCCUUUGUAAAUUGAGGUGCACAGUGAACUUACGCAGUAUUUAGUACAGUAAGUUGGUUGAAAACUUGUGUGGAGCCUUCACCUAACUGGCAUGGAAAGCAUUUUUUUUUAAACAGUAUACCCCUGUCAGGUUCUAUAAGGUAACAGUCUUGGGGAAUCUGCAGUUUUGACCAAUUACUAGAAAGUUGCAGUAGGUGGCACUCUCAUCAUAUCCAGAAGACUUGUAAGGUUAGAAGCAAGAACAGGAGAUAGAAAAGUGGAUAUAUUGACUUGUGCAACCAAUAACUUGAAGGCAUUCUUUGUUAGCAGGAAUUGCAAGUUUUGCUUGUAACAUACCUGGAGCUAGAAUCUAUUUUUUGUCAUAGUUGCCAUAGUGCUUGGUAUGAUGGCUUCUUGGGAAUAAUUGUGAUUGGACAUAUAUCCCUGUGGCUUGAUCCUGUUCCAGUUGAGAUUUAUGAUGAAUAUUCCUUUACCAUUUUGGCCUUGGAUUUCCUUACUUGACAGGGCUUACCCAGAUAGAAACAUGUAUUCUUUUUUUUUAAGAACUCCCACUACUUGAGUAUAGUAAGGGUACUUUUUUAUCUAAAAUGUGAAUGCAUGUAUCAAUUCAAUUACAAGGCAUUCUCAAUCAAAAUGUAAAAAUGGCCUUUUUCUCAAUAUUUGAUAAUCUCGAGAAUGCUCAGAAACAGGCAAAAGAGAUCAAUGUAGCUUAAAUGAGAAUAAAGAAUUUAAUCACCAGUAAAACUGCUUUGGGCAGGCAACAAUGGUAACUGAAUGUAAUCAGAAUCACACUGAGGUAUCUAGCCAAAAAUGUUCACAUCACAAAUCUUAAAAGCAGCAAAGGGGAGGGAAACAUAAUUAAACAUAAACAUAAAAGUCCUCACUUGUUGAGUGAAUUUUAGCCUGAAAUCUUUCCAACAGGUAUUUCGAUAGUGUGUUUUCUCUUGAGUUUUUCAGGAAGAAUCAGAGUUGGGUGACACUUUUUAUCCAAGGUACAAAGGCUGAGACUUUUGUAUAAACACCUGGUGAAUCCUUGACUCCACAACCAUACCCCCAGGAGGUCACCCCAUACACAACCCAGUUCUGGCCUGGCCUUUCACACAUGAGUGGUCCUCCGCUGUCGCCCUGGCAGCUGUCCACGCGUUUGUGGUCCUGGAGAUUUCCAGCACACAGCAUCCUCCUUGUAAACCGGCCUUUAUAACGUUCUUCACAAAACCUCUUGGGAAGUAAGGGAAUGGCAGCUUGUUGAAGAGUUCUUGAAUAGGCUCGUCCUACUCAGACCAAAUAAUCUAAAUUAGAUUCCAAUUAAAGGGUUCACAGAAAAGAGCUACAUUGAACGGUUUACUGAACACUGAGUCAUCUUGAAAAUAAACUCUAUGAUGACAUGAGUAAAGUUUAAAUGAGUAAUAACUGAAUUAUACGUAACGUCAUUAGCUGCCUUUUCUAAUCUUGGCUCUUCUCACUAUCCUUCACUAAUGUCUUUCUCACCACUGUAUUCUGUGGGAGUAACUGAGUAACACUUAAGUACUCGGCUAUGAAGUUAACUAAAAAGCAUAUUUAUGCAAGCUUUAGUAUUGCAAUCCCAUCGAAAAGCUGAGGAUGCAUUCAUGCUGGCUUUGCAGUGACAUACCCAUUCCUCUAAGGUUACUCUACUUAAUGUGAGAAUUACAAAGAAUAAUUACACAUAAGCACAUAAGGUAGCGAUCACUGUUGUAAACAGUAAUACAGUAUUUCAUAAGGAAUAAUUGAGAAACAAAGCAUUCCUUAUGUAGACAGGCUUAGUUUUCACCACUUGAUGUUACCACUCUAGUAAGAUCAUUCACUCUUUGUUUAGUGGCUAAUAUGUUUACUACAUGUUCCAUGACGUCUUUUUCUUGGCUUUAAAUUCCACCAUUAUUUUCUGAUCCUAUUGAUUCAACUGGAAUCAUCAGUCUAUGGUAAAAUACGCUUCAUUGGUCAUUUCUAUUAUUGCAGAUGUAUCCAAAAGAUGAUUGAAUCUUCUUUCCUACAGAGGUGUUCAUAAUUCUAACAAAUUAGACUAUAGCUUUCUCAGAGACUAUUGGCACCCUGGUCAGCACAGUAUACUAAGACCAUUUUCUGGUCUCUUGUAAAGGGAACACCUAACUCAAGUGAGUGCUAGCUCUAUGGUUUCCAACACCAUGCUGAGCAAGCACCAGCUGGCAUCCAUGGAUUGAACUCUAGUAAGACUACACAAAGCCUUGUUCCCUUAUGAAAAAUAAGCUUAAACUGAGUAAUAGACUUUGGGGGGUUCGGAGGUGGGGAAAAAGGGAAGGAGACACUGAGGAGAAACUGGAAUGAAUGGAGUCCCUUCAGUUAAUCCUCAGCAGCUCUGCUCUGUCUGAUCUGAACAGGAAUUCUCCAAGAGUUGGGGCUUCAUGCAAAGAAAGAAAUAAUCAAACACUGAGCCCUUUGCGGGGUUAGCUACAUCAAAAUCAGUUGGGAAAGCUUAAAAUAGAGACUGCCAGGGCCCAAGUCUUACAGUAUGCCUUGAAAUCUUCCUUUGUCUCCUCACUAGUCUGCGGAACAAGAAGUAGAGAAAUCUCUACCCCUUAAGCUCCCAGGCAGUUGGGUUGUCAGUUUGUGCUAAGGUUCUUAUGGGAACCAACAGUGCCCUCAGGAUGUAAAUCCAAAUCACAUCCAUGCAUCUCACACUUGGCAAUAUUUCCAAUAACUAAGCCUGAACUCCUUUAGAUUUUACUACCUUUUGUGCACCCCAAAGUGAGGAGAACCCCAGACUGGAGAAAUGUGCAGACACAUUUGUUCCUUUGUAUUGUUUGCAUUACCUGUGUCUCCCCAUCCCGUGAUGUAACAAUUAGAGGCUGUUUUCUGUGGCCUCUCCCUCCGGAGGGGCAAACAGGCAGGCAAGACGUGGCUGCUGAACCUCGUACACUGCUCUUCUGGUCCCUGCAGUCUCACCAGGGCGAUGUCGUAGUCGCUGCUGUUUGGUCGGUACUCUGGGUGAAUCACGACCUGCUGAACUCCAAUUUCUUCCUCAUAUUCCUCAGGCACCUGAGUAUGAUAAUCCCCAACUCGAACAGCAUAGUUCUUAGUGCUGUUACCAUACCUGAGAGGCAGAGAGACUAAUGAGAGGCUUGUCUUACAUGCUGAAAUGAGUCAGCAGGUUAAUUCUUCAGUAGGUUAAUAGAGACACUGCAGACAAUAGGGUUGUCAGUUUGUUACAAAUCAUUGGCUCCUUUUUUAAAUUUAACCUUUCCAUUUCUCUGACCCCACUGGUCUCAGUUCUAUACUCAAAACCCAUCACUUCCUUUCUUCAUUUCAGUAUUUAAUCCAGAUUACAUUUGCUUUCUGAAAAAGCAAAUGUGAAAGAAGUGUGGAAAAUAAGGAGCUAAUCAUUAACCUGUCAUCAAGUGAAAAAUUAACAAAUAGUGUAGGGCAAAAUUACUGUCAUCGCUGCCUUCAUUUUUCUUUUUAAUACCACUUUCAAGCAGACUAUCUCAUUUACUAUUUAUUAUGUGUUUUAUUCUCUCUCUCCCCUGCUUGAAUAAAAGGCAUUCAAGGGCAUCAAUAUCUGUUGUGUUCACUGAAGAAUCUUAAAUACCUAGAACAAUGAGGCCCUGUUAAGUAGGAAUGUAGCUUAUGUUUGUUGAUUGAGUGAACAAAUGUACGUUUUUAUGUCUUCUUUCCGUAAGGAACUAUUCAGUUAAAAUAGAAACACAAUAUUUAUUAG